rnacentral:rRNA from 1 species
AUGGUGGACUGGCCGGAGUCGAGUGGCCAUGCUGAUGGUGACGAGGGUGGCUAUAGUUCUGAUAGCUAUAGCGAGAGUGAGCUGGUGGAGGGGGGAAAUGUCUACCAGCAUGGUGGUACAAAGCUCCCGCCCACCCCAGUGACCCAUGACCAGAGGUGGUUGAUUACACGUGAUGGGGAGAAGUCUUGGAAACACGGUCAUGGUGUCCGCAGGUCCAACACAGUCCUUGGUGUGAUUUGUCGCCAGAGCUUCCCGGGGUGGGUCACGUUGCCCGGUGAUGGCCAGGUUCCAGAGCUAGGAAUGACCUGGGAGCACUACUUGGCUUCCCCGGCCCCGCCGGGGGAGAGGAUCGGCGGUGUCGAGUGCCACAAGGUGGCCGAUGUUGUGAUCCAGACGUUUUGGACCUUUUACAGAUGUGCUGAGGGAUAG